UGAUCGCGGUCGUGAGGAAUGGGGUGAUCAUUGAGAAGGGAAAGCACGAUGCCUUGAUAAACAUCAAGGAUGGGGCAUACGCGUCCCUCGUCGCCCUUCACUCGGCAGCCUCUUCAUAGCGGGUGGUAGUAUGGAUUCCUGCAAUCGUCUGCGGAAACAUAUAUGAGCAGAGCUGGCACAACCUGUGUAGCAAGUCAGGUGCUAGCCUCUGUUCCUCUAUUGAUGACAUACAUAAUUGCUUAUACCUAAGCGGUAAAAUGUUACAAACAGCAAGGACCAAAUGUAAAUGCAACGAGUUGGCCCUUAAGAUAAAAUUUUAAUUUAUAAACAUAUGUAUAUGUAGUCUCGAACAUAGAAGCCAAAUAGAUGAUGGUUAUGAAAUUACCUCAGAUGUUCCUGCUCUUGUUUUCCGUUGUAUGGCAGCGCUCUUUUAGUCUUCAAGAAACUAAUGAUAGGGGCCUGCUCAGGACAGAAAGAGCAGUUCAGGAAAAGGUUCGAUCUCAUUAUGAAAAUUUCUUUAUCAUUACUCAUAACUAGAAAUCAAGUGGAAAGCAAAUUAAGAAAAAGGCAAAAUUCAAUCAAUGAAGUAUGUAACACUGAAAUGAUUAACCAUAUGGCUGCAGUUCAGGAAAAGGUUCGAUCUCAUUAUGAAAAUUUCUUUAUCAUUACUCAUAACUAGAAAUCAAGUGGAAAGCAAAUUAAGAAAAAGGCAAAAUUCAAUCAAUGAAGUAUGUAACACUGAAAUGAUUAACCAUAUGGCUGAAAGGCUGAGCUGAAAUGCUGAAGAAUGGCUUCAGGGGGAGCAUAAGUUUCAUGGGAGCCUGCUUAAAGCUGUAGAGGCUGCAAGCCUGCAACUUGGAUUAUUUUGAUGUAAAGAAGAAAUAAUACCACGGAAACACAAAUACUCAAGGGUGUCGAAAUCAACGAGUGACUCUGAACUAUAUUUUCUGAAUGCCAUGUAGAUUGAUAUUAAAUGGAUUUCGACUUGGUGGCAUACUAAUAACAGAAAAAACAUCUAUUCCUUUGCCCGGGCAAAAGAACACAAGAAUUGUUUUUGGUAAAAUGUUGGCAAAAAGAAAAUUACUCUAGCCAUUUCAGUUUCCAAGUGGACAGUAGAAAGGUGUAGAACGAAUCUGAUAACCAACAAUUUGAAUGGAUCAUCUGCCCCUGUAGAGAGUAAGAUUCCACAGGACAGUAGGAGAAAAUAACAGAGAUCGUCAGCAAGUUAAAAGGAGAAUUAGCUCUCCCUAGUGAAAACCUGAAGUGCUAAUUCUUCAGCAGAUUUAAACUGACCUGAAGCAUAAGGAUGAACGCGGCAGGGAAUGGCUCUGAACUUCUGAAAGUGAAGGCGUUCCUAAUUUCCCUUCUGCAGCUCGGUCCUGUCGACGGAGGGAGGGUGGAUCAAAGCCGCCCGAAGUCGAUUGCCGCCGGUGGACCAACGGGAAAAAUGACUUCGCGUCUCCCUUUCCGGCCUAAGGCACAAGCGCUAGCAGCGUAUCUCUUCUCGGUUGCCAAUUUGCCAUGGAAUCAUGAAACCGCAGGCGAAAGCUGAGGAACAAAGCAGAGCAAAAACCUCAUCGACGGCGCGGCGGGCGGAAGGCUUUGCCGCCAGGUUACGACCACCAGAUCCCACCCUCGCCGUGCUCCGGCGAUCACCGGCAUCCGGUUCUCCGGAAGUCCGGAGAGCCUAACUUCCGGAGAGCCUGACGAAGACCAGCGCAGCGUUGCCUAGGAUAUCUCCAUCCUUCUCUCCCCUCGGUGAGCGACGGCAAUUGAUGGAGUUGGGCUAAAAAUUGUGCUCGUACCGAGGAGCGUUGACAUUUCCGGCUUGUUCGAUCGAAGCAAAUGAGAUGGCGGAGUAGUUUUGACUUUGUGACAGCGGAUUCGGUGGGUUGGACGUUGCACCAGAUGAAGACUGCGCCAUUGGUUACUGGUUGCUGCAAGUUGCAACGGCCGGUCGCUGGAUGGAGUGGAUAUUCUAC
rnacentral:lncRNA from 1 species